rnacentral:rRNA from 1 species
AACGAACGCUGGCGGCAGGCCUAACACAUGCAAGUCGAGCGCGCCCUUCGGGGUGAGCGGCGGACGGGCGAGUAACGCGUGGGAACGUGCCCUUCUCUGCGGAAUAGCCUCGGGAAACUGAGAGUAAUACCGCAUACGCCCUUUGGGGGAAAGAUUUAUCGGAGAAGGAUCGGCCCGCGUUGGAUUAGGUAGUUGGUGGGGUAAUGGCCCACCAAGCCGACGAUCCAUAGCUGGUUUGAGAGGAUGAUCAGCCACACUGGGACUGAGACACGGCCCAGCCUCCUACGGGAGGCAGCAGUGGGGAAUCUUAGACAAUGGGGGCAACCCUGAUCUAGCCAUGCCGCGUGAGUGAUGAAGGCCUUAGGGUUGUAAAGCUCUUUCAGCUGGGAAGAUAAUGACGGUACCAGCAGAAGAAGCCCCGGCUAACUCCGUG